AGUCGAGUUCAGUUUGUGUUAAUGAGCAUGAUGAUCUGUGAACUGGGCUAGCUGAGGAGCUGGCUGUUCUGCUGCUGCUGCUGCUGCUGCUGGGGAAGGAGCAGCCACUGGCAGGACUGGAGCUGGGCAGCUUUGGAACUUUACUGAGACAGACUUGGACUGCAACCCAGGAAUGAAAGCUGUGGCUUGGAUCUACAUCUGUAUGUACCCAGGAGAAGGACUGAACCUUGUGCAUCUGAGCAACUUCAGUGAGUAUGGAUGUUAAUGAAAGACCACCGCCUUCUCUUCCUCCAAAGACUGACUCCUUUAUUCAGAGGGAGAUAAUGACAGAGAAGAUCAUGGCUGGGUCAUCUAUACCACCCUGUCUUCCUUCUAAAGCCAAUACGAACCUUCAUUUGCUCAUCUGCAAACUGUUCCAUAAUUGCAACAAGUCUAAGAACGUGAUUAUUUGCCAAGUGGCUGUCACCGAAAAGACCUCCAAAAACAACAUGAAGAAUAAGUUUUUGCUCAGCAUAAGUAAGAUUAUAACAGCUUGGUCCGCUAUGAAGCCAUGUGACAAAAAUAAUAAAAGUAUUUUCAGUGAACAGUCUCUAAUUCUGUCAUCAUCCUCUGCUUGCUAUGAUCAACAAACCAUCUUGACGGUCCCUUUUGGAAUUUGUAUAUGAGCCAGAAUUAACUUUUUUGGAACCACAGACCUCUGACUCAGAAUUGUUUGCUACUUAUUCCAUCAGAGUACUUUGUGACCUGGGCUAUUGUGGGACAGAACAUGUAUGCUGUUUAAGCCACAGUCGGUAUGGAAUACAAAUGAAGAACAGAAACUAAACUCAAUUCAGCUGACUCUGAUAGAGGGCUAAGCCUGCAAUAUGCUCUUUUGGAAGAGAAGUUUAACUACUAAACAGAAGUGGAAUGCCACUGUGAGGUUGACCUAAUAAAAAUGCAUAGAAUCAUUCUAAAUAUUUGGAG
ensembl:lncRNA